GGGUGAGUUCGGAUUGUUUCCUCUCAAUACUCACAGUGGACAUGGUUCUUAUGAGUGUUUCAGAAUGUUUUGUAUGCAUAAGUUGUUGAUUGGAUGAAGUUUAUUGAAUGCAGUCCACUGGGUCCUUUUGUCCCUGCUCCUCCUGAGGUUGCUAUGCGGAUGUUACGAGACCAAGGGGCCUACCCCAUUUGAAGGUGGCAGAAAUGGGUUAGGUGGACCUUCUCCAAUAAUUGCUAUGCCACAUACACUUCGGCAGGAUCCCCGGCAAAUGCGAAGCUACAAUGAUCUGGAUGCUCCAGAUGAUGAAGUGACAGUUAUAGAUUACAGGAGCUUGUGAGCAGGCAAAUGCCGUUGGCUUGGCUUUGGGCUAAGCUUGAGUGUUUGACGACGUGGUGGGGAAGUAUGUGGAGUUUCUGCACAAGAUUCUUUUUCAAGUUGGGGAUAUGUUGAAUAGCUUUGUGUUGUAAUACAGUCUUAUUAUGUGGCUAGGAAGAGUUGAGCUAUUUAUUUUUUAAAAUGAAACAGAUGAGCUCUUUCGGAACAGAAAUGUCUCACUCUUUAAUGUAAUUUUACAUUUGGAGAUGCCUUAUUAAUAUUUUUAUUUGCAAA